GUUGGUAUGAGAACUGAAUGGGGUAAGCUGAUGGAAACUCUUAGCGAGGGAGGAGAAGAUGAAACUCCUCUGCAAGUCAAACUGAAUGGUGUUGCCACUAUUAUUGGAAAGAUAGGACUCGGAUUUGCUGUGGUGACAUUUCUUGUAUUAAUAGUAAGAUUUCUGGUGAAUAAAGCUACCCACCAUGAAAUCACACAAUGGUCCUCCAGUGAUGCAUUAACUCUUCUAAAUUACUUUGCCACUGCUGUUACUAUAAUCGUUGUUGCAGUUCCAGAAGGAUUACCUCUGGCUGUCACAUUAAGCCUUGCAUUUGCGAUGAAAAAGUUGAUGGAUAAUAAAGCAUUGGUGAGACAUCUUUCUGCUUGUGAGACAAUGGGUUCAGCUACUUGCAUCUGCACCGAUAAGACAGGAACACUAACAACAAACCAUAUGGUAGUAGAUAAAAUAUGGAUUUGCGAAAAGGCUAAAAAGGUAGAAAUUGGCGGAUCCGCAGAUGCAAUAACA
rnacentral:misc_RNA from 1 species